rnacentral:rRNA from 1 species
CAGCAGUCGCCGCGGUAAUACGUAGGUGGCAAGCGUUGUCCGGAAUUAUUGGGCGUAAAGGGCUCGCAGGCGGUUUCUUAAGUCUGAUGUGAAAGCCCCCGGCUCAACCGGGGAGGGUCAUUGGAAACUGGGAAACUUGAGUGCAGAAGAGGAGAGUGGAAUUCCACGUGUAGCGGUGAAAUGCGUAGAGAUGUGGAGGAACACCAGUGGCGAAGGCGACUCUCUGGUCUGUAACUGACGCUGAGGAGCGAAAGCGUGGGGAGCGAACAGGAUUAGAUACCCCAGUAGUCCCUGUCUCUUAUAC